CGGCGUGCCUAAUACAUGCAAGUCGAGCGGACAGAUGGGAGCUUGCUCCCUGAUGUUAGCGGCGGACGGGUGAGUAACACGUGGGUAACCUGCCUGUAAGACUGGGAUAACUCCGGGAAACCGGGGCUAAUACCGGAUGGUUGUUUGAACCGCAUGGUUCAGACAUAAAAGGUGGCUUCGGCUACCACUUACAGAUGGACCCGCGGCGCAUUAGCUAGUUGGUGAGGUAACGGCUCACCAAGGCGACGAUGCGUAGCCGACCUGAGAGGGUGAUCGGCCACACUGGGACUGAGACACGGCCCAGACUCCUACGGGAGGCAGCAGUAGGGAAUCUUCCGCAAUGGACGAAAGUCUGACGGAGCAACGCCGCGUGAGUGAUGAAGGUUUUCGGAUCGUAAAGCUCUGUUGUUAGGGAAGAACAAGUGCCGUUCAAAUAGGGCGGCACCUUGACGGUACCUAACCAGAAAGCCACGGCUAACUACGUGCCAGCAGCCGCGGUAAUACGUAGGUGGCAAGCGUUGUCCGGAAUUAUUGGGCGUAAAGGGCUCGCAGGCGGUUUCUUAAGUCUGAUGUGAAAGCCCCCGGCUCAACCGGGGAGGGUCAUUGGAAACUGGGGAACUUGAGUGCAGAAGAGGAGAGUGGAAUUCCACGUGUAGCGGUGAAAUGCGUAGAGAUGUGGAGGAACACCAGUGGCGAAAGGCGACUCUCUGGUCUGUAACUGACGCUGAGGAGCGAAAGCGUGGGGAGCGAACAGGAUUAGAUACCCUGGUAGUCCACGCCGUAAACGAUGAGUGCUAAGUGUUAGGGGGUUUCCGCCCCUUAGUGCUGCAGCUAACGCAUUAAGCACUCCGCC
rnacentral:rRNA from 1 species